CCUGGCUGGCAACGAGCCGGGAGUACAGACAUGGGAGUGGUUUGAGGUGUAGAAACAGCCCCAGCUUCAGAGCCCUGGCUUCAGAUGUGAGAACAAGCAUUUGGAAUUCUGAUAAUUUCAAACAGACCUGCACACACCCCUCCUUUGAGGAAAUGCUUUCCCCAAAUACUUACAGAACUAAUUGACCAAUGAAAACAUAUUCAAGAAGAGUGAGUGCUUGAUCUCAAACUCUCCGACGAAGCUGCCCUGCGCUCUUCUGUUUCAUAGGUUUCCAAACACAUGUUCCACACUCGGAUGAAGCCAUUGUGGCCUCCUCGGAUUUGCUUCCUGCAGAUGUUUGCUUCCAUCCGUGGUUUGGCAGAGAACAGAGCACUACGUUUCCAGCACGUCCUGCUCAUCCUGCUGGGGCCCGGACACUUCUUCAGUCAGAAUAAUUAAUAUUGUCAGAAGUGGUUGAACCAGAUGCUCAAAGAACCUGAAUCGGCGCUUGUUUGGAAGAGGAUGCACUGCAGAAAUCCUCCUGUAAGUCACAGUAUCCACUUUGGAAAUCCUCCUGUAAGUCAUAGCAUCCACCACAUGUCCUGGCUGCGGAAGAGGCUGGUGGCAGCUUCAAAAGACACCUAAUCUGUAACCAGCACAAAGGGUGGUCGAUGAAGACUCGGUCUCAGUGAAUAAUUUAUUGGCAUAAGCUAAGCACCAAACACAGGAGAUCACCAUAAAACCACAAGGACCAGGACAGCCAUUGAGCUUUGUGGCUUCUUCAUGGGGGAAGACGUGAGACAAAACGUGCUUGGACUUUUCGUCACAACCCUCGGAAAACAGCACGUCCUGAUUUUUCAUCCCAGGCUCCUCCAAGUUUAACUUUCUUUAAAAAUACAUAGGUUUGGAGUUGGAAACAAUCCCCUUAAUUCAGGGGAGGUGCUCAUUACCGAGGUGAGGCUGAGCUACUGGACGCUGGUCACCGUGUUGCAGGGUGUGGCCCUUGUGGUGAAGCCAUCAGCCAACUGCUCUCUCUGUGGGAUGGUGGUAGAGCUAGAGGGGUUGUCGUCUGCAGCUUUGGACAUGGAAAUCUGUUUUCAUUUUGUUUCUGCUCUGGCAAUGGACAUCUGGUCUGUAAAGAUGGCUGAGUGAUGAGAACUCUGGCCUUUCAUUUCAUUCACUUGUUUAGUAAAUAUUUGCAAUGAGUCAACUGUUGGGAAGGGUCUAGUCAAGGUUCUGGGAGUUUAAAUAAAGAAGACAUGGUCCUUACCCUCAAAGAGUUCUCCAUCCACUGGAAAAAGAAACACAGUGGUUUGAUGCUGUGGUCUGGGCCCAUGACCGGGCUGGCUGUUUCCAGUGUAGAGAUGCGUACCCCGUGCAAAGAAUAAACAGCUUACAGGGAGAGGGCAGCUUCAGCAGAGGCACACCUGUGCUCGCGCAAAUCUGUGAACUUUUGACUUGUCUAGGAUGCGAAGACUUUUCUGAUAACUUCGAAACACCCCUGCAAAUAUGAUCAACAGUGCAACUUGCUUAUCCAGAAGUAGAACUUGGUUUUAGCCAAAGCAUUUGAGCCACAAUAAAACAUUCAGAAGAGAGAGAGGCUUGCUCAUGUCAUCAGAUUAAUGAAGUCUUUCCUACCUUCACAGCCUGAAAAAGAUACUGCUUUAGACUGUGGGGGACCUUAGGAUACAAACUUUAGACAUCAGCUACCACCUUCCACCCCACCACUUGGGAGAGAUGGUGCCACCUUCCACCCUGCCACUGGGGAAAGAUGGUAAAACCUUCCACCCCGCCACCACAGAAAGAUAGUGCCAUCUUCCACCCUGCCACUGGGGAAAGAUGGUACCACCUUCCAACCUGCCACUGGGGAAAGAUGGUGAGCUAUCAUCAGACUUCAACAUUGUAAGAAUCUUUCUUAAUCAGCAAAUGUACCUGUAUCUAUAUUUAUCUUCUCCUGAAUUUGGGGAGAGGCGAAGAAAGAGAUUUCCCCAUCUCUAUUAUGAACUACUCAGAAGGUUCUAUACUUAUGGGAUUUUGUCGGUCAAUAGGACAUUUUCCUCUGAACCUAACAUUUUGUAUCAUUUUCCAUGGGUUUCCUCAUUUCUUUUCUUAAAGCUUAUAUAGAAGAAUACACUGAAGUAUUCAAUUCCACACUGUUUAAGUUUUGGGGAAUUUUUCUGUAGACUGACCUGCUGUGAUGACUUACAGUUAAAGAUUGAGAUCUAUUUUUGAAUUACUCUGUUUGAAGUUUUUUUUAAUCAUUACAUUCCUUAACAUCUUAAAGUUUACAGUUAAAAAAUUUUUAUUUAAACAAAAUGCAAAUCUGGUAUAAUGAUGGUGAAAUUACUUUUAGUGUAAUCGUUUAAAUAAUCGACACCCACUGCAGAACUGACGGAGCUCUAACCGUGGGGGUCGCACCGCAUGCAAGACCCCUCGCCACCCUCUUUUCAGGCUCCCCAUGGGCCUUGGGAUCACACCGGGCACGUUCACCAUCAGGCACUGCAGGUUGGCCUCAGGACAAAAAUGCAUUUUUCAUCUGACAAGUCCGACGCAUGAAUAAACAACUUAAAUGCAAUUUAAGUACUAUGAUGAGGUGAGGCAUAAUUAAUUUUAAAAUCAUAGUUAAGUGUGUGGUCUCCUGGCUCAUUUAAUGUGAGAAGAACAUCACUAAAUAGCUUGCUUUGCACGGAUGGAACAGCCGCUGUCUUCCAAGUGUUGGUGUGUUGUUUCCUUCUCCCUCCUAGACCAGAUUUUUUAAGGUUGCUGUGAUUACCUCAUAAACUAUUUGAAAGCUCCAGUUCACAAAAGCAUCUUAGAAGUGCCGGGGCUCUGACUCACUUCUCUUUAGUGUCUUUGAAAUUUCUGUAGCUCGAAUCACAAUGGCUCCUGCUGGUGACAGCUCUCUCUCUCUUCCUCU
rnacentral:lncRNA from 10 species